rnacentral:tmRNA from 1 species
GGGGCUGAUUCUGGAUUCGACGGGAUUUGCGAAACCCAAGGUGCAUGCCGAGGGGCGGUUGGCCUCGUAAAAAGCCGCAAAAAAUAGUCGCAAAGGACGAAAACUACGCUUUAGCAGCUUAAUAACCUGCUUAGAGCCCUCUCUCCCUAGCCUCCGCUCUUAGGACGGGGAUCAAGAGAGGUCAAACCCAAAAGAGAUCGCGUGGAAGCCCUGCCUGGGGUUGAAGCGUUAAAACUUAAUCAGGCUAGUUUGUUAGUGGCGUGUCCGUCCGCAGCUGGCAAGCGAAUGUAAAGACUGACUAAGCAUGUAGUACCGAGGAUGUAGGAAUUUCGGACGCGGGUUCAACUCCCGCCAGCUCCACCA